rnacentral:snRNA from 1 species
GGAUGUGAGGGCGGUCUGGCUGCGACACCUGUCACCCCACUGACCGCCAGGGCUGAUUCGGCCAGGCAGGUGUCCCCUUCCUCCCUCACUGCCCCAUGUGCGUCCCUUUCGAAGCUGCGCACUCGGUCGAAGAGGAUGGCCCUCCCCGAAUAGAGACGGACCUGUCUUCGCUCAAGGGAAUUGGAGUAGCUGCACUCCCCUGCUAGAACCUCCAAGCAAGCUCUCCAGGAUGUGCUGCCCUUAGUAUGAGAAGCACCUUCCUGCACGUGUGUUUGCACAUAGAC